CAAUAGCGUAUAUUAAAGUUGUUGCGGUUAAAAAGCUCGUAGUUGGAUUUCUGCCGAGGACGACCGGUCCGCCCUCCGGGUGAGUAUCUGGCUCGGCCUGGGCAUCUUCUUGGAGAACGUAGCUGCACUUGGCUGUGUGGUGCGGUAUUCAGGACUUUUACUUUGAGGAAAUUAGAGUGUUUCAAGCAGGCACACGCCUUGAAUACAUUAGCAUGGAAUAAUAAGAUAGGACCUCGGUUCUAUUUUGUUGGUUUCUAGAUCUGAGGUAAUGAUUAAUAGGGAUAGUUGGGGGCAUUCGUAUUUAACUGUCAGAAGUGAAAUUCUUGGAUUUGUUAAAGACGGACUACUGCGAAAGCAUUUGCCAAGGAUGUUUUCAUUGA
rnacentral:rRNA from 1 species